CCUACGGGGGGCAGCAGUGGGGGAUAUUGCACAAUGGGGGGAACCCUGAUGCAGCGACGCCGCGUGGGUGAAGGAGUGCUUCGGCAUGUAAAGCCCUAUCGGCAGGGAAGAAGCAAGACGGUACCUGACUAAGAAGCCCCGGCUAACUACGUGCCAGCAGCCGCGGUAAUACGUAGGGGGCGAGCGUUAUCCGGAUGCACUGGGGGUAAAGGGAGCGUAGACGGCCAUGCAAGCCAGGGGUGAAAGCCCGGGGCCCAACCCCGGGACUGCCCUUGGAACUGUGCGGCUAGAGUGCGGGAGGGGCAGGCGGAAUUCCUGGUGUAGCGGUGAAAUGCGUAGAUAUCAGGAGGAACACCGGCGGCGAAGGCGGCCUGCUGGACUGCGACUGACGUUGAGGCUCGAAAGCGUGGGGAGCGAACAGGAUUAGAUACCCUUGUAGUC
rnacentral:rRNA from 1 species